UUCAUCCCUUAUUCUUUCCUUAUAUUUAGGUUAUUUUAAACAAUUCCUUCAACCUUAAUUAUUUUAUCAUUCUUAAACUGAAACCCUAGCCGCCCUCUCCCUCUGAAUCUAUUGGUGUAAUUCAUCCUCCAAGUGCUUGUGUUUUCGCGUUAAAUUUGGAUCCGUCUCGUCCUAGUGGUGGUAGACACACGCCUCUACGAUUCCCAACUUCGUUUUUGCCUAACGACCCGUCGACUGCUCGUACUUCGGAGUCUACGCAGGGUUAGCUGUUUGCCAAGAUCACGUGGAUAAGCAAGCAGUUUAUGAUUUGAAAGCUGGUCCACUCCGAUUCUUUUAUUCUUCGGAGGUUUUUAUGUUAUUUAAACUAGUUACUGUUUUCGAACUCUUAGA